GCAAGUCGAACGGAGCCCUUCGGGGUUUAGUGGCGGACGGGUGAGUAACGCGUGAGAAUCUGGCUUUAGGUUCGGGACAACCACUGGAAACGGUGGCUAAUACCGGAUAUGCCUGAGGGUGAAAGGUUAACUGCCGGAAAAUGAGCUCGCGUCUGAUUACCUAUUUGGGGGUGUAAGGGACUACCAAGGCGACAAUCAUUAGCUGGUCUGAAAGGAUGAUCAGCCACACUGGAACUGAAACACGGUCCAAACUCCUACGGGAGGCACCAGUGGGGAAUUUUCCGCAAUGGGCGAAAGCCUGACGGAGCAUUACCGCGUGAGGGAGGAAGGCUCUUGGGUUGUAAACCUCUUUUCUCAGGGAAUAAAUACUGAAGGUACCUGAGGAAUCAACAUCGGCUAACUCCGUGCCAGCACCCGCGGUAAUACGGAAGAUGCAAGCGUUAUCCGGAAUGAUUGGGCGUAAAGCGUCCGUAUGUAGCAGUGUGUGUCUAUUGUUAAAGACUUUGGCUUACCCAAAUAAAGGCUGUAGACACUACACAGCUAGAGUGCGUUCGGGGCAGAGGGAAUUCCUGGUGUAGCGGAGAUAUGCAUAUAGAUCAAGAAGAACACCGGUGGCAAAAGCUCUCUGCUAGGCCGCAACUGACACUGAGGGACGAAAGCUAGGGGAGCGAAUGGGGAUUAGAUACCCCAGUAGUCCUACGCCGUAAACGAUGGACUACUAGGGCGUUGAGAGUAUCGACCCCUCUCAGUGCCGAUAGCUAACGCGUUAAGUAUCCCCGCCUGGGGAGUACGCACGCAAGUGUGAAACUCAAAGGAAUUGACGGGGGCCCGCACAAGCGGUGGAGUAUGUGGUUUAAUUCGAUGCAACGCGAAGAACCUUACCAGGGCUUGACAUGUCUGGAAUCUUGGGGAAACUCAAGAGUGCCUUCGGGAGCCAGAACACAGGUGGUGCAUGGCUGUCGUCAGCUCGUGUCGUGAGAUGUUGGGUUAAGUCCCGCAACGAGCGCAACCCUCGUACUUAGUUGCCAGCACUUCGGGUGGGCACUCUAAGGAGACUGCCGGUGACAAACCGGAGGAAGGUGGGGAUGACGUCAAGUCAGCAUGCCCCUUACGUCCUGGGCUACACACGUACUACAAUGCUACGGACAAAGGGCAGCGAGACUGCGAAGUUAAGCAAAUCUCAGAAACCGUAGCUCAGUUCAGAUCGCAGGCUGCAACUCGCCUGCGUGAAGGAGGAAUCGCUAGUAAUUGCAGGUCAGCAUACUGCAGUGAAUUCGUUCCCGGGCCUUGUACACCCCGCCCGUCACCCCCUGGAAGCUGGUCACGCCCGAAGUCGUUACCCUAAC
rnacentral:rRNA from 1 species